AUUGAACGCUGGCGGCAUGCCUUACACAUGCAAGUCGAACGGCAGCACGGGAGCAAUCCUGGUGGCGAGUGGCGAACGGGUGAGUAAUAUAUCGGAACGUGCCCAGUCGUGGGGGAUAACGUAGCGAAAGCUACGCUAAUACCGCAUACGAUCUAUGGAUGAAAGCGGGGGAUCGCAAGACCUCGCGCGAUUGGAGCGGCCGAUGUCAGAUUAGGUAGUUGGUGAGGUAAAGGCUCACCAAGCCGACGAUCUGUAGCUGGUCUGAGAGGACGAGCAGCCACAAGGGGACUGAGACACGGCCCAGACUCCGACGGGAGGCAGCAGUGGGGAAUUUUGGACAAUGGGCGCAAGCCUGAUCCAGCAAUGCCGGGUGCAGGAUGAAGGCCUUCGGGUUGUAAACUGCUUUUGUACGGAACGAAACGGCGGGCUCUAAUACGGCUUGCUAAUGACGGUACCGUAAGAAUAAGCACCGGCUAACUACGUGCCAGCAGCCGCCGUAA
rnacentral:rRNA from 1 species